rnacentral:rRNA from 1 species
UACGUAGGGCGCAAGCGUUGUCCGGAAUUAUUGGGCGUAAAGAGCUCGUAGGCGGUUUGUCGCGUCUGCCGUGAAAGUCCGGGGCUCAACUCCGGAUCUGCGGUGGGUACGGGCAGACUAGAGUGAUGUAGGGGAGACUGGAAUUCCUGGUGUAGCGGUGAAAUGCGCAGAUAUCAGGAGGAACACCGGUGGCGAAAGCGGCUCACUGGAUCGAAACUGACGCUGAGGUGCGAAAGCUAGGGUAGCAAACGGG